AAAUUAGGUUGUAAUCAAAAAAUUUAUUGAGUGUGAUCAUGGCUCGGGAUUAACGCUAAUUAGACGCCUAACACAUGCGAGUUUUAUAUAUAUUAGAUAACAAUUAAAUCUAAAUGUAUAGCGUCAAGGUGAGUAUAAUACAUAAAUAUGCCUUUAAGCCUAUUUAAAUAAUAGUUAAUUUUAAAACAAUAACAAAUGCUAUA
rnacentral:rRNA from 1 species